rnacentral:lncRNA from 1 species
AUUCCUUCAAUUUUGGGCCUAGCCCAUACCCACCCCUACAAUCAAUUACAAGGGAAUUUCAUGGCGGAAAUUCACAAUUAAUUCACGAAAAAUAAAACCACAGAAAAUAAAAUAAAAAACCCAAGAUGGGUAAAUGGGUAAAAUACAUGUGGAAGCCAUUUUUGAUGGCUUUCUCGAAAGAGAUGUCUGUAACAGGAGCAGACAUCCACAAGGUGAGUCUAUAAUGUCUGAUCUUGAAGUCGGAUUCCAAGUGAACAACCGAGUACUAUGGCGACUCAAUCGUGCUGCAUAAGCAGAAGAAGUUUGGGAGGAUGACGAUGGAUAGUAGUAGAAGCGCUGUGGAGAAAAAAAAUAGUCCAAAAAAUCAUUAAGGUGACAUGUGGAUUUUUUGAUUAAAAAGACAAGAUUACUCUCGAGGCAUACUAGGAUUUUCACGCAGAUGCAACGGACAAUAACGGCUCAAUUAAGAAAGAAUCAAAGGUAAUCAAUAUGGUAUUUAUUCAAAUCUCUCUCAUCAUUCAUCUCCAAUCGCUUAUUAAUUUUAUUCAAAAUGUAACUCCUGAAACUUCCUAUUUAAUUUAGGAAUAAUUAUCAGGUUAAUUGCAAGAUAUAAUUUCACAUAAUAUCUUGCAAUUAUUCUCCAAAUACCUCUAUAUAUGGCCGACUACUUUCCACCCAAAUGGUUGGCCACCCUUCUACGAAAACCCCUAUUAUCCCACUAAAACGUUAAGCCAUUGGCUAUUCACAAACUCCAAAAUACAUUAUUUUCAGAUUUCUAACUUUGGCAUCAGAGAUUCUUCGACCAAAGCCCCUCUCCCAAAUUUAUUGUGGGCGCGUAAGACUUUUGGCCUUAAUCAUAGGUCUUAUUAUUUUGCAGUUGCAUUUUCGUCAAAGGAGAAGAUGGUGGAAAUUUGCAUUCACAAUUGGUGCUUUCAUUGAGAGUUUGAUUCACAUGCUCGAAGAAGACUCUCGCAUUCAAAGUUUCUCAUUUCUC